GGGUGAUGGCGUGCCUUUUGUAGAAUGAACCGGCGAGUUACGUUCCCGUGCAAGGUUAAGGUGAAGAGCUGAAGCCGCAGCGAAAGCGAGUCUGAAUAGGGCGAAUGAGUACGUGGACGUAGACCCGAAACCGGGUGAUCUACCCCUGUCCAGGGUGAAGGUGCGGUAACACGCACUGGAGGCCCGAACCCACGCAUGUUGAAAAAUGCGGGGAUGAGGUGGGGGUAGCGGAGAAAUUCCAAUCGAACCCGGAGAUAGCUGGUUCUCCCCGAAAUAGCUUUAGGGCUAGCCUCGGAAAAAAGAAUCGUGGAGGUAGAGCACUGAUUGGGUGCGGGGCCCGCAAGGGUUACCAAGCUCAGUCAAACUCCGAAUGCCAUAGAUUUAGUUCCGGGAGUCAGACAGUGAGUGCUAAGAUCCAUUGUCGAAAGGGAAACAGCCCAGACCAUCAGCUAAGGUCCCCAAGUGUGUGUUAAGUGGGAAAGGAUGUGGAGUUGCACAGACAACCAGGAUGUUGGCUUAGAAGCAGCCACCAUUGAAAGAGUGCGUAAUAGCUCACUGGUCGAGUGACUCUGCGCCGAAAAUGUAACGGGGCUAAACACACCACCGAAGCUAUGGCUUGAUGCUUGCAUCAGGGGUAGGGGAGCGUUGAAUGCGGGUUGAAGGUGUACCGGAAGGAGCGCUGGACUGCAUUCAAGUGAGAAUGCCGGUAUGAGUAACGAAAAGAUCUGUGAGAAUCAGAUCCGCCGAAAGCCUAAGGGUUCCUGAGGAAGGUUCGUCCGCUCAGGGUAAGUCGGGACCUAAGGCGAGGCCGAUAGGCGUAGUCGAAGGACAACAGGU
rnacentral:rRNA from 1 species